rnacentral:rRNA from 1 species
UCGAGAGUUUGAUCCUGGCUCAGAGCGAACGCUGGCGGCAGGCUUAACACAUGCAAGUCGAGCGGGCAUCUUCGGAUGUCAGCGGCAGACGGGUGAGUAACACGUGGGAACGUACCCUUCGGUUCGGAAUAACGCGGGGAAACUAGCGCUAAUACCGGAUACGCCCUUUUGGGGAAAGGUUUACUGCCGAAGGAUCGGCCCGCGUCUGAUUAGCUAGUUGGUGGGGUAACGGCCUACCAAGGCGACGAUCAGUAGCUGGUCUGAGAGGAUGAUCAGCCACACUGGGACUGAGACACGGCCCAGACUCCUACGGGGAGGCAGCAGUGGGGAAUAUUGGACAAUGGGGGUAAACCCUGAUCCAGCAAUGCCGCGUG